AUUGAACGCUGGCGGCAUGCUUUACACAUGCAAGUCGAACGGCAGCGCGGGCUUCGGCCUGGCGGCGAGUGGCGAACGGGUGAGUAAUGCAUCGGAACGUGCCCAGUAGUGGGGGAUAGCCCGGCGAAAGCCGGAUUAAUACCCCAUACGACCUGAGGGUGAAAGCGGGGGACCGAAAGGCCUCGCGCUAUUUGAGCGGCCGAUGUCGGUUUAGCUAGUUGGUGGGGUAAAGGCUUACCAAGGCGACUAUCCGUAGCUGGUCUGAGAGGACGACCAGCCACACUGUGACUGAGACACGGCCCAGACUCCUACGGGAGGCAGCAGUGGGGAAUUUUGGACAAUGGGGGCAACCCUGAUCCAGCCAUGCCGCGUGAGGGAAGAAGGCCUUCGGGUUGUAAACCGCUUUUGUUCGGGAAGAAAUCCUCUGGGCUAAUACCCCGUGGGGAUGACGGUACCGGAAGAAUAAGCACCGGCUAACUACGUG
rnacentral:rRNA from 1 species